rnacentral:misc_RNA from 1 species
UCGAGUUUUAAUUGGGUUGUAGCUGGCCUUAUAAGGCAUGUGCACACCUGGUUUAAUCCACUCUACACCUGUGCAUUUAUUGUAGGCUUUAUAUCAGUGAAAGCAAAUCCUUUAUAGGGUUUGUAGAAGCUGUUUAAGUCUGCGUUUAUUACAAACUCUUAAAAGUAUGAGAAUGUAUAUUAUGAUGUAAUGCAUCUUAAUA